GUGACUGAGCUAACGCAUUAAGUACACCGCCUGGGGACUACGGCCGCAAGGCUAAAACUCAAAGGAAUUGACGGGGACCCGCACAAGCGGUGGAGCAUGUGGCUUAAUUCGAGGCAACGCGAAGAACCUUACCUGGGUUUGACAUAUAUUGGACCCCCUGUGAAAGCAGGGUUCUCUUCGGAGCCGAUAUACAGGUGCUGCAUGGCUGUCGUCAGCUCGUGUCGUGAGAUGUUCGGUUAAGUCCGGCAACGAGCGCAACCCGUAUCGUCAGUUGCUAACAGGUAAUGCUGAGGACUCUGGCGAGACUGCCCGUGUUAAACGGGAGGAAGGCGUGGACGACGUCAAGUCAGUAUGGCCCUUAUGACCAGGGCUGCACACGUGCUACAAUGGUCGGUACAAUGAGACGCAACACCGCGAGGUUGAGCAAAUCUGUUAAAACCGGCCCCAGUUCGGAUUGGAGUCUGCAACUCGACUCCAUGAAGUCGGAAUCGCUAGUAAAGGGGUAUCAGCAACGGCCCCUUGAAUACGUUCCCGGGCCUUGUACACACCGCCCGUCACAUCAUGGAAGCUGGCUGCACCCGAAGUCGUCGACCCAACCCCUCGGGGAAGGAAGCGCCGAAGGUGUGUCCAGUAACUGGGAUGAAGUCGUAACAAGGUAGCCGUAGGGGAACCUGCGGCUGGAUCACCUCCUUUCUAA
rnacentral:rRNA from 1 species